UCGUAACAAGGUUUCCGUAGGUGAACCUGCGGAAGGAUCAUUACCGAGUGCGGGCUGCCUCCGGGCGCCCAACCUCCCACCCGUGACUACCUAACACUGUUGCUUCGGCGGGGAGCCCCCCAGGGGCGAGCCGCCGGGGACCACUGAACUUCAUGCCUGAGAGUGAUGCAGUCUGAGCCUGAAUACAAAUCAGUCAAAACUUUCAACAAUGGAUCUCUUGGUUCCGGCAUCGAUGAAGAACGCAGCGAACUGCGAUAAGUAAUGUGAAUUGCAGAAUUCAGUGAAUCAUCGAGUCUUUGAACGCACAUUGCGCCCCCUGGCAUUCCGGGGGGCAUGCCUGUCCGAGCGUCAUUGCUGCCCUCAAGCCCGGCUUGUGUGUUGGGUCGUCGUCCCCCCCGGGGGACGGGCCCGAAAGGCAGCGGCGGCACCGUGUCCGGUCCUCGAGCGUAUGGGGCUUUGUCACCCGCUCGAUUAGGGCCGGCCGGGCGCCAGCCGGCGUCUCCAACCUUAUUUUUCUCAGGUUGACCUCGGAUCAGGUAGGGAUACCCGCUGAACUUAAGCAUAUCAAUAA
rnacentral:misc_RNA from 1 species